rnacentral:rRNA from 1 species
GACGAACGCUGGCGGCGUGCUUAACACAUGCAAGUCGAGCGGAGCGGCGAACGGGGGAGUAACGCGUGAGUAAUUGCCCCCCUCCCUGGGAUAACAGUUGGAAACGGGAGCGAAUACCGGAUAGUGGGGGAUGACUCGGGUCCUAUCAGCUUGUUGGUGGGGUAGUGGCAUACGAAGGAGACGACGGGUAGCCGGCCUGAGCGGGCGACCGGACACAAGGGGCUGCGGUACGGCCCAAACUCCAACGGGGGGCAGCAGUGGAGAAUAUUGCACAAUGGGGGAGACCCUGAUGCAACGGCCCGCGUGCGGAAUGACGGCCUUCGGGUUGUAAACCGCUUUCAGCCAUGACGCGGUAGUGGCAGAAGAAGCACCGGCUAACUACGUGCCAGCCGCCGCGGUAAUAC